CGCGGAAAGCAAACUACGCUGCCGGCACAAACUAAACGCUACCGUGCUAUCACUCCAGGCAGUCGCUCGUCGCGUCUUCGACAACCUGCGUAAAUGGACAAAGGCACUGGAAGAACGUUGAAGACAACUACUGACUCCCAAGUGAUUUUUUUAAUAUUGAAUAACACCUAUAGAUACGCAGACACUAAGGCAAAAGCGCCCGACCAGAACUCGAAACCAGCAUGAGUACGCAUUCAAAAUCCGAACGACCCAUCCCCGCGUCCUUAAGAUGAACAAGCGCGCAUGUGCGAUCUCAAUAAAGCACUUUCGUUAUCUGAUAAUUCAA